CGCUGAGAGAUGGGCUCGCGCCCGAUUAGUUAGUUGGUGAGGUAACGGCUCACCAAGACUACGAUCGGUAGCCGGACUGAGAGGUUGACCGGCCACAUUGGGACUGAGAUACGGCCCAGACUCCUACGGGAGGCAGCAGUGGGGAAUAUUGCACAAUGGGCGCAAGCCUGAUGCAGCGACGCCGCGUGCGGGAUGACGGCCUUCGGGUUGUAAACCGCUUUUGACUGGGAGCAAGCCCUUCGGGGUGAGUGUACCUUUCGAAUAAGCACCGGCUAACUACGUGCCAGCAGCCGCGGUAAUACGUAGGGUGCAAGCGUUAUCCGGAAUUAUUGGGCGUAAAGGGCUCGUAGGCGGUUCGUCGCGUCCGGUGUGAAAGUCCAUCGCUUAACGGUGGAUCCGCGCCGGGUACGGGCGGGCUUGAGUGCGGUAGGGGAGACUGGAAUUCCCGGUGUAACGGUGGAAUGUGUAGAUAUCGGGAAGAACACCAAUGGCGAAGGCAGGUCUCUGGGCCGUCACUGACGCUGAGGAGCGAAAGCGUGGGGAGCGAACAGGAUUAGAUACCCUGGUAGUCCACGCCGUAAACGGUGGAUGCUGGAUGUGGGGACCAUUCCACGGUCUCCGUGUCGGAGCCAACGCGUUAAGCAUCCCGCCUGGGGAGUACGGCCGCAAGGCUAAAACUCAAAGAAAUUGACGGGGGCCCGCACAAGCGGCGGAGCAUGCGGAUUAAUUCGAUGCAACGCGAAGAACCUUACCUGGGCUUGACAUGUUCCCGACAGCCGUAGAGAUACGGUCUCCCUUCGGGGCGGGUUCACAGGUGGUGCAUGGUCGUCGUCAGCUCGUGUCGUGAGAUGUUGGGUUAAGUCCCGCAACGAGCGCAACCCUCGCCCUGUGUUGCCAGCACGUCGUGGUGGGAACUCACGGGGGACCGCCGGGGUCAACUCGGAGGAAGGUGGGGAUGACGUCAGAUCAUCAUGCCCCUUACGUCCAGGGCUUCACGCAUGCUACAAUGGCCGGUACAACGGGAUGCGACACUGUGAGGUGGAGCGGAUCCCUUAAAACCGGUCUCAGUUCGGAUUGGAGUCUGCAACCCGACUCCAUGAAGGCGGAGUCGCUAGUAAUCGCGGAUCAGCAACGCCGCGGUGAAUGCGUUCCCGGGCCUUGCACACACCGCCCGUCAAG
rnacentral:rRNA from 1 species